GAUGAACGCUGGCGGCGUGCCUAAUACAUGCAAGUCGAGCGAACAGACGAGGAGCUUGCUCCUCUGACGUUAGCGGCGGACGGGUGCGUAACACGUGGAUAACCUACCUAUAAGACUGGGAUAACUUCGGGAAACCGGAGCUAAUGCCGGAUAAUAUAUUGAACCGCAUGGUUCAAUAGUGAAAGACGGUUUUGCUGUCACUUAUAGAUGGAUCCGCGCCGCAUUAGCUAGUUGGUAAGGUAACGGCUUACCAAGGCAACGAUGCGUAGCCGACCUGAGAGGGUGAUCGGCCACACUGGAACUGAGACACGGUCCAGACUCCUACGGGAGGCAGCAGUAGGGAAUCUUCCGCAAUGGGCGAAAGCUUGACGGAGCAACGCCGCGUGAGUGAUGAAGGUCUUCGGAUCGUAAAACUCUGUUAUUAGGGAAGAACAAAUGUGUAAGUAACUAUGCACGUCUUGACGGUACCUAAUCAGAAAGCCACGGCUAACUACGUG
rnacentral:rRNA from 1 species